GACGAACGCUGGCGGCGUGCUUAACACAUGCAAGUCGAACGGAAAGGCCCUGCUUUUGUGGGGUGCUCGAGUGGCGAACGGGUGAGUAACACGUGAGUAACCUGCCCUUGACUUUGGGAUAACUUCAGGAAACUGGGGCUAAUACCGGAUAGGAGCUCCUGCUGCAUGGUGGGGGGUGGAAAGUUUCGGCGGUUGGGGAUGGACUCGCGGCUUAUCAGCUUGUUGGUGGGGUAGUGGCUUACCAAGGCUUUGACGGGUAGCCGGCCUGAGAGGGUGACCGGCCGAGUUGGGCCUGAAGUGCGGCCGAGAGUCCUGGGGGGGAGAGCGGGGGGAAAUAUUGCCGAAGGGGGGGAGGUCGAAGGAAGAAGCGCCGCGGGGGGGAUGACGCCCUUGGGUUUGAAAACCUCUUUCGCAUGGAACGAGGCGUGGGUGGGGUUAAGGGAAAAAGAAGCCCCGGCAAACUGCGGG
rnacentral:rRNA from 1 species